rnacentral:tRNA from 1 species
GGCCAGGUAGCUCAGUUGGUUAGAGCGUUGUUGGGAUACAUCAAGAUUGAGGGUUCAAUUCCCUACCAGGGCA